UACGGGGGGAGCAAGCGUUGUUCGGAUUUACUGGGCGUAAAGGGCGCGUAGGCGGCGCGACAAGUCACUUGUGAAAUCUCCGGGCUCAACUCGGAACGGCCAAGUGAUACUGUCGUGCUAGAGUGCGGAAGGGGCAACUGGAAUUCUCGGUGUAGCGGUGAAAUGCGUAGAUAUCUGGAGGAACACCGGUGGCGAAGGCGGCAUCCUGGACCACGACUGACGCUGAGGAGCGAAAGCCAGGGGAGCAAACGGG
rnacentral:rRNA from 1 species